CUUGGGAAGGCCCCUAGCAAGGUGCAGGGCUGUCUGCUCUCCAGAGGGCUCCAGUGGAAAGGAGGGAAUGAAGAGGGAAGGAGAGGCCCUGGGUGGGCCAGACAACCACACCGUGAACCCUCCUGGACUUUAGACAGAGAGAGGCGCUCCACACACCCCACUCUCCCUCUGCCGUCUCUCACCCCCUCCCCUGUCCACACAGGUCAGCCCAAGGCCACCCCCUCGGUCACUCUGUUCCUGCCAUCCUUUGAGGAGCUCCAAGCCAACAAGGCCACGCUGGUGUGUCUCAUGAGUGGCUUCUAUCCGGGAAUCUUAACGGUGACCUGGAGGGCAGAUGGUACCCCCAUCACCCAGGGCGUGGAGAUGACCACACCCUCCAAACAGAGCAAGAAGUACACAGCCAGCAGCUACCUGAGCCUGACGCCCGAGCAGUGGAGGUCCCGCAGAAGCUACAGCUGCCAGGUCACACAUGAAGGGAGCACCGUGGAGAAGACAGUGGACCUUGCAGAAUGUUCGUAGAUUCCCAACCCUCACCCCAGCCACAGGGGCCUGGAGCUGCAGGAUCCCAGGGGAGGGGUCUCUCUGCAUUCCCAAGCCAGCCAGCCUUUCUCCCUGUACCCAGUAAACCCUCAAUAAAUAUUGUCUUGGUCAACCAGAAA